GCCUCUGUAGCUCAAUGGAAGAGCAGUUGCGUCCUAAGCAAACGGUUGGGGGUUCGAGUCCCUCCAGGGGCACCC
rnacentral:tRNA from 1 species